UUAAUUUAGACAUUAGGGUUUAGAGUUAAGGGGUGAGGUUUAUGAUUUAGGAUUUAGGGUUUAGAGUUUAGAGGUGGGGUUUAGGGUUUAGAGUUAAUGGGUGGGGUUUAUGGUUUAAGGUUUAGAGUUUAAGGUUUAGAGUUUAGAGUUUAGGUUUUAGAGUUUAGAGUUGGGGAGUGAGAUUUUGGGAUAAGAUUUCAAAUUUUGAAAAAUAAAAAAAAAAUAAACUUUUCAAAACAUAAAAUGCUAUUUUGGUCAUUUUAGUUUUUGAGGACUAUUUUUGUGACAUAAACUUAGAAAUGUGCUAUUUUGGAGAUUUGCCCAAUA
rnacentral:lncRNA from 1 species